rnacentral:rRNA from 1 species
GAUGAACGCUGGCGGCGUGCUUAACACAUGCAAGUCGAACGAAGAUGCCGGAGUGCUUGCACUUUGGCAGACUGAGUGGCGGACGGGUGAGUAACGCGUGGGUAACCUGCCUUAUACAGGGGGAUAACAGUUGGAAACGACUGCUAAUACCGCAUAAGCGCACGGUAUCGCAUGAUACAGUGUGAAAAACUCCGGUGGUAUAAGAUGGACCCGCGUCUGAUUAGCUUGUUGGUGAGGUAACGGCCCACCAAGGCGACGAUCAGUAGCCGGCCUGAGAGGGCACCGGCACAUUGGGACUGAGACACGGCCCCAAAAUCCUACGGGAGGCAGCAGUGGGGAAUAUUGCACAAUGGGGGGAAACCCUGAUGCAGCGACGCCGCGUGAAGGA